ACCUACACCCAUGCCACUCUGAACGCACCCGAUUUGUCUGACCUCGGAAGCUGAGCAGGGUCAGGCCCGGUUAGUGCUUGGGUG
rnacentral:rRNA from 1 species